AGGAAGGUGCAAAAUCCCGGGAAGAGUGUUCUUCCUAUCUCCAUCCAUUUCUUUUAAUCUGCCAUUUUUCCCCUCUUACUAUCUCCUCAAAAUGACACACACACACACAGACAGUAUUCUCAGUCUUAAAGACUCUUUCCCCCUGGUCUCUGUCAAAUCCUUAAAACAGCUUGUUUCUCACUUUGUUCUAGACAAAGAACUUUAUCAAGGUUCAUUUUAUGCCCUUUCUCUAUAUUCUCUCCUCAGCUCACCUUUAAAAAAGGACUUCCAUUAGUUAGAAUCUGAAGAAACCAGAUGUGUUCAAAGGUAGUCUAAGGACCUUUCCUCAAACAAAAGCUUUGUACAACUGCUUCUGUGUUCAAGCCUGGAAGAGGAAAGUCAGUGCGAGAGUUGUUAUGGUGAAAUCCCAGAGCCACCGUUUCGUUUUCCACCUAGAGGACCACCGCUCCAUCUCCGAGCCCCGCACUCACAACUGUGAACUCAACCCACGAAAUCGCGAUUGCAGACCUACUUCGUCCCUUCCAAGACUGACGGCAGAUGAGGGGCUUCAACCAAAAAUCUGAGAGGACUGCGUGCCCCUAAAGGCUUCAUGCCGUCAGUGGGCCGGACGAGAGGCUCCGGGCAGCCCCCUCCCCCGCCCACUCCCCUCCCGCGCCCCCCUUACCCGGGACGAAACUGACAAGCCCGCUGAAGGUCAGACCCAAUCACACGCGUCGCGGGCGGCCCCGAGCCCGCCCCCCUUGCCUUUGCCGGAGAAUCAGGUCUCCCCGCAAGCCCAGCCCACCAACCACCCUCCAUCUCCCCACUCCCCUUUCCUCCCUCCUCUCCUACCCAAAUCCCGGAGAAGAAAUGGGAGGGAGUUACGGGGGACGCGUGCUUGGCUCCAGCACUUUGGGAAUGAAAGGAAUUGCAGGAGAGCCCCAGAGUCCACAGAGUUUUCAAGGAGCUUCUGUAUUCAAUAAAAACAGCUACUUGUCUACUUGCA